UGGUGGCGAUAGCGAAGAGGUCACACCCGUUCCCAUGCCGAACACGGAAGUUAAGCUCUUCAGCGCCGAUCGUAGUCGGGGGUUUCCCCCUGUGAGAGUAGGACGCCGCCAAGCU
rnacentral:rRNA from 1 species